rnacentral:rRNA from 1 species
AGUGAACGCUGGCGGUAGGCCUAACACAUGCAAGUCGAACGGCAGCACAGUAAAAGCUUGCUCUUACGGGUGGCGAGUGGCGGACGGGUGAGGCAUACAUCGGAAUCUACUUUUUCGUGGGGGAUAACGUAGGGAAACUUACGCUAAUACCGCAUACGACCUACGGGUGAAAGCAGGGGAUCUUCGUACCUUGCGCGAUUGAAUGAGCCGAUGUCGGAUUAGCUAGUUGGCGGGGUAAAGGCCGACCAAGGCGACGAUCCGUAGCCAGUCUGAGAGGAUGAUCAGCCACACUGGAACUGGGACACGGUCCAGACUCCUACGGGAGGCAGCAGUGGGGAAUAUUGGACAAUGGGCGCAAUCCUGAUCCAGCCAUACCGCGUGGGUAAAGAAGGCCUUCGGGUUUUAAAGCCCUUUUGUUGGGAAAGAAAAUCAGCAGGUUAAUACCCCGCUGUUCUGACGGUACCCAAAGAAUAAGCACCGGCUAACUUCGUG